UUUUUUUUUUUUUUUUUUUGUGAGAUGGAGUCUUGCUCUGUCGCCCAGGCUGGAGUGCAGUGGCCGGAUCUCAGCUCACUGCAAGCUCCGCCUCCCAGGUUUACGCCAUUCUCCUGCCUCAGCCUCCCAAGUAGCUGGGACUACAGGCUCGCCACCCUCGCCCCAGCUAGUUUUUUGUAUUUUUCAGUAGAGACGGGGUUUCAUCGUGUUAGCCAGGAUGGUUUUGAUCUCCUGACCUCAUGAUCCGCCCGUCUCGGCCUCCCAAAGUGCUGGGAUUACAGGCUUGAGCCACCGCGCCCGGCCAGAAGUCCUAUUGUUAAUCUUUUUGUAGGCAAAGAAACUUCAAAAAGUGAGCAAUCACCCAUUUAAAAAAAUCUUCGAUUUUCAUAUAUCCAGUUUGCCGAAACAAAAUCAAUCUGGUGUCCUCAGCUGUCUCCACAACUGAAUUGGAGAGACUAUAUGGCCACCCAUUUGAGCAGAUGCUUUUUUUUUUUUUUUAAAUAGCUGAAGAAACUCAUUUGCAAACUGAAUUAGUGGCAGAGAAUUGACAUGACUUAGUCAAGGAAAUGAUAAGUCACUCACUCUUCUGGGAUGCCAGAAAAUGCAGCCCAAGGGACAAGCGACCCCUGGAAUACCUAGGACAGGAUUACCUACCCACAGCCCUGGGUGGUGCAAGGUUAGGAAGGGACGAACGGCCAGAUAAAGUUCUUGCAGGGACCAUGCCCAGCUGCCCUUGAUGGGAGGACUCAGCUAUGCCUUCACUAGAUCUUUGCUUGUAUGCAUAUACUUAUAGAAACUAGAGCUUCAUGUCUGUAAAGUGGGCACAAUGUAGCAAAUACAAUAAUUAGGGUUAUUUUUACACUUGAAACCAGAGAGCAAGGACAACUCAGCUAAGGUUCCUACUAUCUCUAACCUAAGACUAUACUUGAACUGCAUGUCUCUCUCUCUUUUUUCUUUAGUGGAAUUACAGUUUUUAGAAAGGCACAGUGUCGGCCGGGCGCGGUGGCUCACGCCUGUAAUCCCAGCACUUUGGGAGGCAAAGGCGGGUGGAUCACCUGAGGUCAGGAGUUCAAGACCAGCCUGACCAAACAUCAAAACCCCAUUUCUACUAAAAAUACAAAAUUAGCCGGGUGUGGUGGCGCAUGCCUGUAAUUGCAGCUACUCAGGAGGCUGAGGCAGGAGAAUCGCCUCAACAGAGGGAGGCGGAGGCUGCAGUGAGCUGAGAUCAUGCCAUCCAUUGCACUCCAGCCUGGGGAACAAGAGUGAAACUAAUUCUGGAAAAAAAAAAAAAAAAGGAACAGUGUCUUAUUUUAACAAGCUCACUGAGAACUAAAAACAUGACCCAAAUUAAUGAACCACUAAUAGAUACUCUUUUUCUACAAACACAGCAGAUUCAUGAACAGUUUUCUUGGGCAGAUCCAAAAGGAAAGAACAGAACAAGACAUGAUUUUUUUAAAAAAAUGGGUGACUCCAUAAUCAUAUUCCUCAGAAGCCUUGGCCAGGAUUUGGGGCAAGAAAAUCGAGGCCUGGGAGCGGUGGCUCAUGCCUGUCAUCCCAACACUUUGGGAGGACGAGGUGGGCAGAUCGCCUGAGGUCAGGAGUUAGAGACCAGCCCGG
ensembl:lncRNA